AAGCAGUCGUUUACUAUGGCCGAUGAUCUGGAGCAGCAGCCUCAAGGCUGGCUGAGUAACUGGCUGCCCACGUGGUGCCCCACUUCCAUGUCUCAGCUGAAGAAUGUGGAAGCCAGGAUCCUCCAGUGUCUCCAGAAUAAGUUCCUGGCCAGAUAUGUGUCCCUCCCAAACCAGAAGAAGAUCUGGACAGUGACUGUGAGCCCCGAGCAAAAGGACCACACCCCCCUGGUGAUGGUGCAUGGUUUUGGGGGCGGUGUGGGCCUCUGGGUCCUCAACAUGGACUCACUGAGUGCCCGCUGCACACUGCACACCUUCCAUCUGCUUGGCUUCGGGCGAUGCUCAAGGCCAGCAUUCCCGAGGGACCCGGAGGGGGCUGAGGAUGAGUUUGUGACAUCGAUAGAGAUGUGGCGGGAGACCAUGGGGAUCCCCAGCAUGACCCUCCUGGGGCACAGUUUGGGAGGAUUCCUGGCCACUUCUUACUCAAUCAAGUACCCUGAUAGAGUUAAACACCUCAUCCUGGUGGACUCAUGGGGCUUUCCCCUCCGACCAACUAACCCCAGUGAUAUCCGUGCACCCCCAACCUGGGUCAAAGCUGUGGCAUCUGUCCUAGGACAUUCCAAUCCAUUGGCUGUUCUUCGAGUAGCUGGGCCCUGGGGGCCUGGCCUGGUGCAGCGAUUCUCGCUGGAUUCAAACGCAAGUUUGUAGACUUCUUUGAAGAUGAUACCAUAUCAGAGUAUAUCUACCACUGCAAUGCACAGAAUCCCAGUGGUGAGACGGUAUUCAAAGCCAUGAUGGAGUCCUUUGGCUGGGCCCAGCGCCCUAUGCUGGAGCGAAUUCACUUGAUUUGAAAAGGUGUGCCCAUCACCAUGAUCUAUGGGUCCAACACCUGGAUAGAUACCAGUACGGGAAAAAAGGUGAAGACGCAGCGGCCGGAUUCCUAUGUCGGAGACAUGGAGAUUGAGGGUGCAUCUCACCACGUCUAUGCUGACCAGCCACACAUCUUCAAUGCUGUGGUGGAGAAGAUCUGCGACUCAGUUGACUGAGUCGCUCUCUGAAGAGGAAGAGGAGAAAGCCAGAGAGUCACUCUUGCCUCCCUGUCUGCUUACUCACCCACUCUGUCCUUUCCUCACCAACUAACAUGUGCCAGCCAGGCAGUCUUAGGCUGUUCCCAGAACAGGACCACAGUGAAAAGAACACUCUUGAUCCCACACUGAAGGCUGAAGGCAGAAGCCACAAGAGGCCUUCAGUGCCACCCCUGUGGAAGAACAUCAAGGGUUGCACAAUGUCACCCAUCCACUUCUUGCCAAGUGUUACCCAGAUGGUGGAGGAUGUGAAGGGAUUGCACCUAGCCACAUUCACUCUCUCUGUGGCCUUUCUUCCUCUAGGCAAAGAAGGGCUUCCAGUGGCCUUUCCUAGCUCUGCAGUGUUUGUGGGAUAAGUUCCCUGCAAGAACACCUUCCUCCUCCAUGCCCCACUUCACCCCAUCCCAUACCAGUUCCAUCCAGGGUCUGGUUAACCGCCAAGAGCAGGUCCUAGAGUUCCCUUCACCUGCAGAGUCCUUUUCAUGACCUAGAAGGUCUUAUUCAAAGCCCUCAUUGACAGAGGAGGAAACAGGCCAAGGCAGGACAUGGCUGGACCAUGGUGAUACAGCUCUGUGUGAUUCAAGUUCUGGCUAGAGCCCAGGUCUGCCGACACCCUGUGCUUGUUGCACACUUGAUUUGCUAAGGCUCGAGACAGGCACUGUUGCCAUGGGGCUGGUCCUGGUCA